CAUUCUGUAAACGUAGCAAACGAUUCGAUUAGUCGAUUGUCAAUCGCGAUCCCUAAUUCCUAUUCCAUCGAUUUGUAUCGUUAUGCGAGAUAUUUAAGAAUCAUCCACCGUUUGCUAUCGACUUUGCCCAGGGAAUCGCGUAAUAUCGUUCUGUAAUAUUUCAGGAAGAAACGAAGCGCAAUUGGCGAUAUACGCGUUAAAGAGGAUACACCAUCUUGAAGAUCGAUUCUGUGAGAACUCGUGUCAAGUGCUUCGACGAUGCGUUCCCGUCACGUCCGUAUGAACACGUCACGAUCAACCGGCACAGUGGCGCGAAUAAAUAGCUGCAGUUGGAAAAAUGCGAGUUUAUUUAAAUGGAUAUGCGAAAUGGAUUUGGAUUUGUUCAAAGGGAUAAAUUUUGAGGAUCGGAGAGACGAUAGGCUGCGUCCUCGCUGAAGCAACACCGAGCAGCUUUUCGUUGCCUGUCGUUGCUGCAUGUUCCGAACGAAAUUAAACAAAUAUCGAAUCGUAAAAUUAGACAUUUUGAGUUCUCUUUUUCGAUUUCAAAGCGAAAGUUGUUUUUAAUAAAUCGUCUACAUCCAAAUGCGUUGUAAAAUAAUCGACAAACUGUACACGCUGAAGGAACGUUUGUUUCUGUUGCAACGCGUUGCUGCGUGUUUCUUACUUUUAGCCGCGGUCUUCGACAUUACGGAAACAGGCAACAAGCACCAAGCUUCGUCAUUAGCAACAGAAACGCGAGGGAACAUGAAAGAACACCGAGCAACGACUCGUAACUUUUUCAUGCAACUUGAAUAAGAAGAUCCUCGUUGUUCAAUCGCUUCAACGAGGACGCAACUUUAGAGGAACAGGUUAGGUAAAUUUUCUGAUUAAUAUAUACUCUUUAUUUAAAAAUCAGCACACACGCAGGUAAACCUAGGUAAGAGGAAGCAUGCCGAUAUCGUUGACCGGAAACAACCGAAGACGGUCUCCGUUUACCUUUUUCAUACGAGCGACGUUUCUUUUACUCUGUCUCGUUUGUCGUUCCUACUUCGUUUCGUCGUCCUGCAACCAUCACCCCCAUCCUGCUUUACGGAUCGAUCAACGACCCGCUAGGAAACGUGGAACGAACGUAUUUACUAAUAAAAUUUACAUAUUCGAACGAUUCAACUACUAUCACGAAAUAGUUGGUCUAAUUGUAAGCGUCGAGCGUUACCAGCGAACGCUAUACUCUGUUACGUUAACUGUUACGUUACCCUUUAAAUAAAUAUAUUGAAAACUAAGACGACAAAUCCUGACGUAUUGCUAAUGCAACGUGUCGAUACUUAAAAGCGAACUUACACGCUAUAUUACCCGAUACUUGGAGAUCCCGUAAAUCUAAUAGUAGCGAUUAUUCCAAUAAAGAAUCGUCAUUGCUAGCCGCGAAACGUAGAAAAAUAAAUACUUCUUGAGGAGUAGCCUGGUUCGGAGAUGGGGGGUUCUUGAUAAGGUCUCUUUGGUACACGCACGAUGUAGCACGGUGGUCGGAUUGACUAGACAAGAUCUACUACAAGGCGCUACUAUCCUCGUUCUCGAUCCUUUCACCAUAUAAUAUAUGCAACAGGUGUUUUUCAAAGUCAACAACAUUUGUCUUACAACGUUUAGACGCGGCGCGCCUAAUUCAAAAAUACUUCUCAGAAUACUCCGCGUACUUCGUCGGUGCUAUACAUACUUUACGUAAGCUUUCGUAGCUAUACGUGCUUUAUAUAAGCUCCUCCUCCCACCCUUUCCUACAAGAUUUCCUUACACCGUUGUUAUUCAAAUUCAUGCGCGUGUUUCGCUUUUCAGCUGGAUACGUUGGCGGCGACGCAAAGCUAUACAACUCAAUUAAUACUGAAAGUUAUGGCGAAAUCCCUCGUUCGGCUAUUCCUCUACGCGAAUUAACGUACACGAUAAUGCGCACGAUAAUGGUCUGAUCCGCGAGUCAACCGAGUUGAACCGAAAGAUCGUUAUCGUAGAAGCGCGUCCUCGACCAGCGAAGAGGCGUUACGAAAAUCACAGAAUAUUGCACGCGACACGAUGCGGAGACACAGGAUGGAAUAGAGAAAUAUGUUGUAGCUUGUCACGAUACCGCGCUCGAAACGAAUAUCAUCGAUAAUCUCGAGCGACGUUCGUUUAAGAUAAUUGCUAGAAUUAGCGGCAACAGGGAAACGUUACGACUUUCGAUAAACCGUUUAUGACCGUAACAAUAGCCAAGAUACGUCUCGGCUUUUCCCUUGGACGUCGAGCUGUUAA